rnacentral:lncRNA from 1 species
ACACGGAAAACACGACACGAAUGCCAGGUUUACUGUGAAGAAACUAAAAUAGUACGAUAAGUAAGUUAUAAAAGAUUAGAAGUGGUAAAGUUCGAUUCUAUCUAACAAAAACUUUAAUUCAUGGAAGCAUGGAGAGCCAGGGGACCGUUAUGGAGCGAUAUGCGGGAUUAGGUUAAUUUAAAAGAAAACUUUUGAGUUUUAAGGAUAAAAUAAAGGGUAAAGUAAAUAGUACCAUAAUUGAUUUUUAGUGUAAAUAUGUGAUUUUUUAUUAAAAUGAACAGUUUUUCAUUAAAAAGGUUUAAGCAAAGCGUCGAUUCAAUGUGAUUAUAAUAUUAUUGUUGGUAUUUGGACGACCAAAUCUAUUGUGAAUCGAUUUUACACGUCACAAAUGCAAUCUCCAUAAAGAUAUGAAGCAAGAAUAUAAAAAGGGAUACUUUGGAUGCGGUCCUUAAUCCUUAACAUUCUUUGAUUAAAACCUUAAUGAUAUUAAAAAUUUGAUCAAAGUCCCUUGACUUUGUACACCUCAUUAUAUUACUAUUAAUAUUUAUGUUUUUAUAGUUUUGACAUUAAUUGUUUGAUAUUUUAUGAGAUUUAUAAUCCAUAGUGAUUGAAUAAAUGGAUAAAAACUAUGUCAAAAUAAGAAAUAAUAAAUGGCAAAAGAAUGUAUCCAUAGUGUUAAAAAAAUUGGUACAUUUUACAAAAAAAUUGGUACAUUUCACAUAUAACAAAGUGGUACAUUAAUAAAGAAGAAUGGGUACAUUAUAAAUAAAUUAGGGUACAUAUACAAGAUUAAAAAAUUAUGAGUACAAAUGAAUUUUUAAAAAUAUAGGCCCUAAAAGAAAUUAAUACAUGGGUACAAAAUAAAACUAAAAAGAAAAUACUACAAAUUUUAAAAAAAUGUUGCAAAUUAAAAGUGGGUACAAACUAAAAAUGUAAAUAUAUGAUACAAAAUUUAGGCAUAAAACAUAAAUAUACCAUAAGUAAUUUUUCUAUCAUUUAUUAAAUAUACAAUGUCACGUGACGGUAUACACAUGGUACAAACACAAAUAAAACUUUCAAAAAGAUGGGCACAAAAAGAAACUAAUAUAUGGGAACAAAUUAAAAAUGAAAAAAAAAUUGGUACAAAUUUAGAAAUAUUUGCAAAUUAAAAAUAGGUACAAACUAAAAAUAAAAAUAUAUGAUUAAAAAUUUAGCCAUAAAUACAAAUAUAUUUGUAGACAUCGAAAUUUCGGUAAAUAAAUGUUGACCGAUAAAUCAAAGUGUCAACGCUCAUGUAUUACAUAAAUUUUACACGUAGCGUGCGACUCAACGAAAAUUGAAAUGAGUUGGAAAAGUCAUCAAAUAGGACACGUGUCAACACCUGGCAGAAACGACUUAUUUCAUCUGGGAUAUUAUAUUCAAAAUUAGGCCUUGGAAAAUUCUAUAAAUACAAGCCCAUUUCAUUCAUUUAGGGGGAACC